rnacentral:pre_miRNA from 1 species
CUCAUACUCCCUCCGUUCCGAAUUACUUGUCUUAGAUUUGUCUAGAUACGGAGAUAUCUAACACUAAAAUGAGUCUAGAUACAUCUGUAUCUAGACAAAUCCAAGACAGGUAAUUCGGAACGGAGGGAGUAUUUU